rnacentral:lncRNA from 1 species
AUGGCUUCAAGCAAAGGGAAUGUCCGUUUUGACAUCCCCACGUCAAGGGAGGGGCUGCUCCCCCCAGGCCCGCAGGAGGAAGCCUCAGCUGGGAGCCAGCCCAACACCUCUGACACCGGCCGCCCUGCCUUUGGGCGAAGAGGGAGCCGGCCUCGGGCGCGGAGGCUUCCGCAGGCGCCGGUGUCCAGCUGGGAUUUGCUCACACGUCCUUGCACUGGUGUUUAUGGCAGCCCUCCGUUGACGGCUGAACCUUCCCCACUUUGCUGUCAACCUGGAUUCUGCUGCUACAGCCCUGGGAUGUUCAGGAGCCGAAGCCACGAAGAUGUUCCGUGUGGUGUUAUUUACAGCAGGAGGGGAGAAUCGGAAAUAACACAGGGGUCGGCAAUGACUGGACUGUUAAAAUAACUCCCACCACUUCCUUCAUUGGCGUGAACACUGAGGACUAUCAGGUCCCAAGAGAACCAAGGUUUUUUCCUCUUGUUGAAAGAAGAAUCCCUCAGCCCCGAAAAUAACGGCCAGCAUAUAAAGGUGUUUGGUAUGUAUUCUGGGGAUGAAUGAAUAAAUAAUGCUGUGAAAUUAAUUUCCA